CCAUCUGGAGAUGUCGUCUCCAUCUAGCCAGAAGAAGAAAAGGAAUUUUAGUUACCAUCCCUCUCAAAAAGCUGCUGUUUUGUUGACAGAUUCCUCCCUCUCCCUUGCCCUCUUCCUGCCCUCCUUUCCCUUGUGGCCUUCUGUCUCAACCCCUCUUGAUGCAGCCAGACCUGCCAAUUCUCUGUAGCUCCUCCAAGGUUGCUAUCUUCCUUACCUUUUGCUGAAACUAAGCAGAGAGGCUCCCUGGCAUAGAGGCUGCUAUCAGCUGCUACACCUCAAAAGUGCUCUACUGUGAGACCUGCAAUGACAGGCCCCUACAUGUGACCCACACCCCUCUGCUCCUGCAUGGUACAGAGAGCUUGCUGUGGGUUGGAAGAGGCAGCAGAAGGGAAUACUGGGCAUUUCUAAGCUGAUGAAAACAGCAGGAAUUCCCCAGUGGUGGCCCAUGUGCAGGGACCAGGUGUAGGCAGCAAAGAUGUCCGUAGGGAUGAAGUACAAAAGUGAUGAAAGACGGCUUUGUCUUCCACACCAUUUUUCUGCAGCUGACGUGGGACUGUGGUGUUUUCCAUGGGAAUGGAAUUCCUGUAUAGCACAUCUCUCAGCUUCUGGCUGCUCAGUGAACUGCACAAGCUCUUUGAUGACACCACAUGCCGUGCACUGUGAGUGGUCUCUGGCUGCCCAUACCCUGCCUGGCAAAGUACCAAAAAGCCCAGCUGUCCCAGCAUUGAGGUCUCUCACAGUGGUGGUGUCCAUUAUGACACCCUGAGGGCAAGUUGGCCGUAGAGGUGGGUUAUAUGGAGACUGAAGAGUGAGGCAUUUGUGAUAAAUUUGGAUGUCUAAUGGAACUAGAAUUGAAUUUCUCAUUUCCAAGCCUGAAUGUUGCUGCAUCUCUUCCUUCCCUUGCUUUUUAAUCUGAAGGAUUUAGCUUCAACUUGUUUCAUCCCUUAUUACACCAUAUCGUUAUCAGUGGCCUAAAACUCUUCUGGAUAUUUAUUUUAAUCUCAGUUCUGACCUGAGUGUCCAUACCAGCUGUCUAACGAUGGUACAGUCAUGAGCUCCAAGAUCUGCCAUCCCUAAGCUCAGUCUGAAUCUAAUACCUGUUCUCAACUGGAAUAUCUGUGUACCCCUACACAUUUCCAUUUGCUAUCUUCCCAGCUAACACAGUGAAUCCUGGCUGGACUGAGGUCACUGAAUAAUGCUUUCUUCUGCUAACCAUUUGCAUUUCAUUUCCAGGCCAUCAUUCCAAGAUAGGUGAAGAACUUGGCCUGUGAUGGAUUGUAGAGGCUUUGGAUAAAGGGUGAACAUUGAUCUUCAUGGAUAGGAUUUCUUCUCUAUAGAAGUGCAGAUGUCCAAGGAUGUGAAUGUGCUGGCCCAAAGUGGAAGAGGAGGUGGAGGACCUUGGAUUCCAGGGAGAGAAGCUGGAGAACAGUGCAGAAAGAAGGAAGCUGUGAAGGAAAUCGGAGGCAAGCAGAAGACAGACCUUCAUUCUCAUUGCUGCAGCCACUCCUGCCUUGAGGCAGUGAAAGGAACUCCUGUUUGCUCUGCACUGAUACACAAUUUCACUGGAACUGAGUCAUCUCCGAUGUAUCUGCUAAACCCUGGCUGAAGACAAGAUCAUCUCAACACAGCAAGGUUUGGCUUUCUUUUUCAUGGUUGAAAAAUGUGUUUUGAAUUCUGUGCUACAAAGAUCUAGCAACAAAAUGUGUGUCUGAGCUGUAAUGGCAGCUGCUGUUGCAGCUUCAUAUGAGUUACAUCCAAUGAAGUUUGCACUCAGAGGAAAUUAUCAGUAAUCUGUAACACUCUUGAUUUGCUGUUGGCUUUGCCUCGGUUCCUACACUGAUGAAAGUGCAUUUUAAGUUGAAUUUUUCAGGGCCUCUGUAUGUAGUAUUACAUAGAUUGCAAAUAUCUGCCAUGUUUUCCCCUGUUUAGAAUACAACCAUUUAUGACACCUGUACAGUGUCUUGUGUUCUUAUUUGCACAGUAGACAAUGAAGUUUAGAAAGCAUAGUUUGUUAAACAGAGCAUGGUUAAGGAGUUAGAUGGCUGGGAAAAAGCAUCCUCCCUAAGAUUAUAAGUGUUAAUUCCUGUCUGUUUUUCCUGCCCUUACUCUCAUUAUUUUAAGAAAAUAUCAAGCAUUUGCUCUCACAUCAUAUUGCAGUUGAAAAUACAGUGUUAAAAUUGUGUUGGAUGACCAGAAGGGGUGGCCUAAUGAAGGUGAUUGAUGGCAGCAGCUGGAGAGAUAGUGAACAUGUCUGUGAGGUUUGAAAUAAACAACAAUGGUAUAAAAUAAGUUUUGUGAUUUUUUUAAUCAUGCCUUUGACACUGUCCCCGGCACUAAAUCUUCUUUAUGCCUUUGUAUAAUGCUCAGCAGAGACUCUUGUUGUAAAUGAAUCACUGAUUUGGUGACCUCAGCUGACACUCCAAAGAGUUGAGGACUGGUUCAUCUCAGAUCACCACAAGCUGAAAUUUUGGGAUAAAUUUGACCUUCUAUCUGUUAAGUGGUGACCUCAAGUAAGCCCAUGAGAUAAUUGAUGACCUUGAAUCACCCCAUGCUGAAAUUUUGGGAUAAAGUUGAUCUCUGGUAGCCUCAUGUGAUAAUUAGUGAUCUUGGAUGGCCAUGAGCCAAAAUUUUGGGAUACAGAUCAUCUCUAGUAACCCCAUAUGAUAACUGGUGAUCUCAGAUGACCCCAAGCUGAAAUUUUGGGGUAAAGUUGACCUCUAGUAAGCCCAUCUAUUAACUAACAACU